AAGCACGGAGCUCCUAACCCUCCAGUCUCUGACAGAGGGACUCAAUUUUGCAGAGAGACCCUGAUUACAGGGCUGGUCGGUGAAAGUGCCAGGAUUCCAACCCCGGGUCCCAGGGUCGUGUCCUCCACCGUGCCGCUCUGCCUUCAGCCUGGGGGCUGCGUAUCUUACUCCCUGGAUGCUGGGAGCUGAGCUGCAGAGGGUGAGGGCAGGAUUCCACGUAUCCAGCAGGUUUCUCCAAGACCCACCCAGCCUGUGACUGGACCCUGGGGCCCGAGGUUGGAGCAGGGCAUGGGUGAGGCUCUGGAGGGCAGUUGGGGGUGCAGGGAGCAGGAAGUGGACACUCCAGGGAAAUGUCUUCCACCUGCUGGAGGGAGAAAGUAACGAAUUCCUGGAGGGCUCUGGACACUCUGGAGGGAGGAGCAGCUACUUCUUCGCUGCUGUUUCUGAACCAGGGGAGUGGGGGGCCACCUCGGUGUCCCCUCCCCGAGCGCCAGGAACACGGCUGUUGGCUGAGACAGAAGAGACACAGUGGGAUUCUUCUGCCUCUGGCCUCUAGGCUGCCAGGUCUGAGACCGGGAGACCUCCCAUCUUCCCUUCACCCUUCUUCUCUCCCUUCCCUGGCCACACCAGGCCUCUCCUCUGACCUUCCCUCAGAGGCUCCAUGGUGUUUGGGGCAGCCUCUUUCCCCUCUCC
ensembl:lncRNA